CAUCGCGAAGACUCCCAACUUUAGAAGCUCGUCGUUCGCGCAGCGCUUUCGCCUCCCUCUUCGAUUUCGAUCUCUUCAGGCAUUCGAGAACCUCCUUCCAACGAUCUUCACAUCUUUCUGCUAAUCUAUCACACUGUGUGUCGCAGGUUUAAAAUCAAAAUCUUGGAAUCGUUUCUAUUAUCUGCCCCAGGUUUUCUCUGAUAGAACUGUCUAACAUAUAUUCCGUCACUCUUCGAGAUGGUUUAUCAGAUUUACACUUCUUUCCUUCCUGCAUGGAUCGGAUAUGUGUUGCGACUUUGAUUUGUUGACGGUGAUGGGCUCGGUGGAUUGACCUCCAUCCUGUUUUUCCUUCUCUAUAAUGAUAAAAACGAUUUGAAUUUGUGCGUUUUGUCUUCCUAAUUAAUUCUAGGAUUUAUGAUUGAGUAAAUCUUAUGUCCUGCAGGCAUGACUUUUUUCUAUCAUUUAUCAUUUAAUGUAUGUUAUAUAUUGAUCUAUUUUUCUCCCAAAUGUUUUCAUAUCAUUUUUCUUUCUUUUGAAAUUUUUUCCCACACCCUAAGACACUGCAUGAUGUACUCUGUCAUUGUGUUGGUUCCUUUCAUUAUUGUAUUUCAAUUUGUUGUCUCAGGGGUAUUAUGUUGACUUUCUGGAAAGCCCUAACUGAAAGAAGCACCGGCAAGGCGACGCCAGAUAUGGGCAAGAUCACCAUGAAGGAUGACGCAGAGCUCCGCCGUAUGCACAAAAAAUGGAUGGUGAAGAUUGGGCGUAGAUAUGCAAAUGCUGAGGAGGAGGAGCGGCGUUUUCCAGAUCUUCAAGCAGACAGUGGAGAGGUGUGAAAGGCACAACGCAAAGAAGAAAGGUCACAUUGCAGGGUUGACCUGCUUCGCCGAUCUCACAUCCGAGGAGUUUACUGCCAGGUUCCACCCAAUUGAGUAUCCCCCCUGGGUUUAUGAGAAGAUGCGGGAGGAAAGGGAGAGGGAACUGGAGAGGGAAGCCUUGCGAUAUGCCAGGGAGAGGGAAGCCUUGCGAUAUGCCGGGCCGCCCGAAGAUUUUACUUGUUUCGGCUGCGGUGGCCCUUACUAGAACAUCAAGGCACAAAUAGUCCAUGCGGCGGUGUUGGUCUUGCUAGCGACUUGAUAGGUUAGGCACCUAGAAGAAAAUUUUAUGCUGCAACAGUUGUAGCGUCUACUAAUUUUAGUGGUGUGAUGAAACUCGUUGUUGAGCAAUCUUAGUGGUGUGGUGAAAUUCUCUAUUGAGUAAUCUGUCUACUACUAACCUUUUGCUAAGUAAUUUUGGUGGUGGUGUAGUGAAACUCUCUGUGGAGUAAUCUAUCUACUAUUAACCUUUGGUUAUUCUCUAAA